rnacentral:rRNA from 1 species
CCCUGCCCUUUGUACACACCGCCCGUCGCACCUACCGAUUGAAUGAUUCGGUGAAAACCUCGGACCUCGAAGACGUUGUCUACGGGCAACACUUUGGGGAAAGUUGUUUAAACCUCAUCAUUUAGAGG